GAUGAACGCUGGCGGCGUGCCUAAUACAUGCAAGUCGAACGAGUGGCGAACGGGUGAGUAACACGUGGGAAACCUCCCCUUCAGCGGGGGAUAACUAUCGGAAACGAUGACUAAUCCCGCAAACUGAUGGAUGGUCCCUCGGUGCAUUAGCUAGUCGGUGGGGUAACGGCCUACCGGGGCGUUGAUGCAUAGCCGACCUGAGAGGGUGAUCGGCCACAUGGGGACUGAGACACGGCCCAAACUCCUACGGGAGGCAGCAGUAGGGAAUCUUCCGCAAUGGACGCAAGUCUGACGGAGCAACGCCGCGUGUGUGAAGAAGGUUUUCGGAUCGUAAAGCACUGUUGUCAGAGAAGCGGUAUCUGAUCAGAAAGCCACGGCUAACUACGUGCCAGCAGCCGCGGUAAUAC
rnacentral:rRNA from 1 species